ACACUGGUGGUGAAACGGUAUCAUGCUUGCCUUCCAUGUUGCAAUUUGAAAGCUUAAGCAAGCGGCAGGGGUUCGACUCCCUUUCAGUGUA